rnacentral:rRNA from 1 species
UACAGAGGGUGCGAGCGUUGUCCGGAAUCACUGGGCGUAAAGGGCGCGUAGGUGGUGGCUUAAGCGUGCGGUGAAAGCUCGGGGCUCAACUCCGAGUCGGCCGUGCGAACUGGGCUCACUGGAGCAUAGUAGAGGCAGGUGGAAUUCCGGGUGUAGCGGUGGAAUGCGUAGAGAUCCGGAAGAACACCGGUGGCGAAGGCGGCUCUCUGGACCGAUACUGACGCUCAGGCACGAAAGCGUGGGGAGCAAACAGG